rnacentral:rRNA from 1 species
GGGUUGUGAGGUUAAGCGACUAAGCGUACACGGUGGAUGCCCUGGCAGUCAGAGGCGAUGAAGGACGUGCUAAUCUGCGAUAAGCGUCGGUAAGGUGAUAUGAACCGUUAUAACCGGCGAUUUCCGAAUGGGGAAACCCAGUGUGUUUCGACACACUAUCAUUAACUGAAUCCAUAGGUUAAUGAGGCGAACCGGGGGAACUGAAACAUCUAAGUACCCCGAGGAAAAGAAAUCAACCGAGAUUCCCCCAGUAGCGGCGAGCGAACGGGGAGGAGCCCAGAGCCUGAAUCAGUGUGUGUGUUAGUGGAAGCGUCUGGAAAGGCGCGCGAUACAGGGUGACAGCCCCGUACACAAAAAUACACAUAUUGUGAGCUCGAUGAGUAGGGCGGGACAC